rnacentral:tRNA from 1 species
GCGGGUAUAGUAUAGUUGGCUAUUAUGUCGGCCUUCCAAGCCGAAGAGACGGGUUCGAGUCCCGUUACCCGCUCCA